CUGAUGUUUUCCUUCUUUUGCUUGAUCCAGGUAGUGCAACCUUGCAACCAACGGCGUUAAGCACAGAAUAAAACCGUACGGAGCUGUUCUGAUGUUGGCUUUGACUGUCUAGUGCCUGGAUGGCUGGUGGAGAUCCAGAAUUUUGUUCAUGAAUGAACUGAAUUGAGUAAAAUGAGAUGGUUCCUGGAAUCAAGAAAAAGAGUCCGCUUGAACAUCCUGCAAUGCUGUCACAGCGUAUCCCCAAUACUGUCCGGCUACGCUAUCAAAUGUAAUUUUU
rnacentral:lncRNA from 1 species